ensembl:ncRNA 2RSSE.6 ncRNA
UGAGAGCUAUAAAAAAAUUGUCAACUAACAAAAUAUUUUUCAUACAAUUUUGAAUAUUUUCUCAGUUGACAACUUUU